GGAUUGUGGCUCAGCGGAAGAGCGCUGGUCUAGCACAUGCGAGGUCCUGGAUUCGAUCCUCAGCACCA
rnacentral:tRNA from 1 species